rnacentral:rRNA from 1 species
AUUGAACGCUGGCGGCAGGCCUAACACAUGCAAGUCGAGCGGAUGAAGGGAGCUUGCUCCUGGAUUCAGCGGCGGACGGGUGAGUAAUGCCUAGGAAUCUGCCUGGUAGUGGGGGAUAACGUCCGGAAACGGGCGCUAAUACCGCAUACGUCCUGAGGGAGAAAGUGGGGGAUCUUCGGACCUCACGCUACCAGAUGAGCCUAGGUCGGAUUAGCUAGUUGGUGGGGUAAAGGCCUACCAAGGCGACGAUCCGUAACUGAUCUGAGAGGAUGAUCAGUCACACUGGAACUGAGACACGGUCCAGACUCCUACGGGAGGCAGCAGUAGGGAAUCUUGGGCAAUGGGCGAAAGCCUGAUCGAGCCAUGCCGCGUGUGUGAAGAAGGUCUUCGGAUUGUAAAACUCUUUUAGUAGGGAAGAAGAGAAGUAAGUUAAUACCUUGAUAUCUUGACGUUACCUACACAAUAAGCACCGGCUAACUACGUG